GAUGAACGCUAGCUACAGGCUUAACACAUGCAAGUCGAGGGGAAACGGCAUUGAGUGCUUGCACUCUUUGGACGUCGACCGGCGCACGGGUGAGUAACGCGUAUCCAACCUUCCCAUUACUGUGGGAUAACCUGCCGAAAGGCAGACUAAUACCGCAUAGUCUUCGAUGACGGCAUCAGAUUUGAAGUAAAGAUUUAUCGGUAAUGGAUGGGGAUGCGUCUGAUUAGCUUGUUGGCGGGGUAACGGCCCACCAAGGCUACGAUCAGUAGGGGUUCUGAGAGGAAGGUCCCCCACAUUGGAACUGAGACACGGUCCAGACUCCUACGGGCGGCAGCAGUGAGGAAUAUUGGUCAAUGGACGGAAGUCUGAACCAGCCACGUAGCGUGCAGGAUGACGGCCCUAUGGGUUGUAAACUGCUUUUGUAUGGGGAUAAAGUUAGGGACGUGUCCCUAUUUGCAGGUACCAUACGAAUAAGGACCGGCUAAUUCCGUG
rnacentral:rRNA from 1 species